rnacentral:rRNA from 1 species
AUGCUGGAGGUAUCAGAAGUGCGAAUGCUGACAUAAGUAACGAUAAAGCGGGUGAAAAGCCCGCUCGCCGGAAGACCAAGGGUUCCUGUCCAACGUUAAUCGGGGCAGGGUGAGUCGACCCCUAAGGCGAGGCCGAAAGGCGUAGUCGAUGGGAAACAGGUUAAUAUUCCUGUACUUGGUGUUACUGCGAAGGGGGGACGGAGAAGGCUAUGUUGGCCGGGCGACGGUUGUCCCGGUUUAAGCGUGUAGGCUGGUUUUCCAGGCAAAUCCGGAAAAUCAAGGCUGAGGCGUGAUGACGAGGCACUACGGUGCUGAAGCAACAAAUGCCCUGCUUCCAGGAAAAGCCUCUAAGCAUCAGGUAACAUCAAAUCGUACCCCAAACCGACACAGGUGGUCAGGUAGAGAAUACCAAGGCGCUUGAGAGAACUCGGGUGAAGGAACUAGGCAAAAUGGUGCCGUAACUUCGGGAGAAGGCACGCUGAUAUGUAGGUGAAGUCCCUUGCGGAUGGAGCUGAAAUCAGUCGAAGAUACCAGCUGGCUGCAACUGUUUAUUAAAAACACAGCACUGUGCAAACACGAAAGUGGACGUAUACGGUGUGACGCCUGCCCGGUGCCGGAAGGUUAAUUGAUGGGGUUAGCGGUAACGCGAAGCUCUUGAUCGAAGCCCCGGUAAACGGCGGCCGUAACUAUAACGGUCCUAAGGUAGCGAAAUUCCUUGUCGGGUAAGUUCCGACCUGCACGAAUGGCGUAAUGAUGGCCAGGCUGUCUCCACCCGAGACUCAGUGAAAUUGAACUCGCUGUGAAGAUGCAGUGUACCCGCGGCAAGACGGAAAGACCCCGUGAACCUUUACUAUAGCUUGACACUGAACAUUGAGCCUUGAUGUGUAGGAUAGGUGGGAGGCUUUGAAGUGUGGACGCCAGUCUGCAUGGAGCCGACCUUGAAAUACCACCCUUUAAUGUUUGAUGUUCUAACGUUGGCCCCUGAUCGGGGUUGCGGACAGUGUCUGGUGGGUAGUUUGACUGGGGCGGUCUCCUCCUAAAGAGUAACGGAGGAGCACGAAGGUUGGCUAAUCCUGGUCGGACAUCAGGAGGUUAGUGCAAUGGCAUAAGCCAGCUUGACUGCGAGCGUGACGGCGCGAGCAGGUGCGAAAGCAGGUCAUAGUGAUCCGGUGGUUCUGAAUGGAAGGGCCAUCGCUCAACGGAUAAAAGGUACUCCGGGGAUAACAGGCUGAUACCGCCCAAGAGUUCAUAUCGACGGCGGUGUUUGGCACCUCGAUGUCGGCUCAUCACAUCCUGGGGCUGAAGUAGGUCCCAAGGGUAUGGCUGUUCGCCAUUUAAAGUGGUACGCGAGCUGGGUUUAGAACGUCGUGAGACAGUUCGGUCCCUAUCUGCCGUGGGCGCUGGAGAACUGAGGGGGGCUGCUCCUAGUACGAGAGGACCGGAGUGGACGCAUCACUGGUGUUCGGGUUGUCAUGCCAAUGGCACUGCCCGGUAGCUAAAUGCGGAAGAGAUAAGUGCUGAAAGCAUCUAAGCACGAAACUUGCCCCGAGAUGAGUUCUCCCUGACUCCUUGAGAGUCCUGAAGGAACGUUGAAGACGACGACGUUGAUAGGCCGGGUGUGUAAGCGCAGCGAUGCGUUGAGCUAACCGGUACUAAUGAACCGUGAGGCUUAACCUU